CCUACGGGUGGCAGCAGUGAGGAAUAUUGGUCAAUGGACGCAAGUCUGAACCAGCCAAGCCGCGUGCGGGAAGACGGCUCUAUGAGUUGCAGACCGCUUUUGUCCGAGGGUAAAUCCCGGUACGUGUAACGGGCUGAAAGUACCGUACGAAAAAGGAUCGGCUAACUCCGUGCCAGCAGCCGCGGUAAUACGGAGGAUUCAAGCGUUAUCCGGAUUUAUUGGGUUUAAAGGGUGCGUAGGCGGUUCGAUAAGUUAGAGGUGAAAUCCCGGGGCUCAACUCCGGCAAUGCCUCUGAUACUGUCGGGCUAGAGUGUAGUUGCGGUAGGCGGAAUGUAUGGUGUAGCGGUGAAAUGCAUAGAGAUCAUACAGAACCCCGAUUGCGAAGGCAGCUUACCAAGCUACGACUGACGUUGAGGCACGAAAGCGUGGGGAGCGAACAGGAUUAGAUACCCCAGUAGUC
rnacentral:rRNA from 1 species